rnacentral:rRNA from 1 species
AGUGAACGCUGGCGGUAGGCCUAACACAUGCAAGUCGAACGGCAGCACAGUAAGAGCUUGCUCUUACGGGUGGCGAGUGGCGGACGGGUGAGGAAUACAUCGGAAUCUACUUUUUCGUGGGGGAUAACGUAGGGAAACUUACGCUAAUACCGCAUACUACCUACGGGUGAAAUCAGGGGAUCUUCGGACCUUGCGCGAUUGAAUGAGCCGAUGUCGGAUUAGCUAGUUGGCGGGGUAAAGGCCCACCAAGGCGACGCUCCGUAGCUGGUCUGAGAGGAUGAUAAGGCACACUGGAACUGAGACACGGUCCAGACUCCUACGGGAGGCAGCAGUGGGGAAUAUUGGACAAUGGGCGCAAGCCUGAUCCAGCCAUACCGCGUGGGUGAAGAAGGCCUUCGGGUUGUAAAGCCCUUUUGUUGGGAAAGAAAAGCAGCAGGUUAAUACCCCGCUGUUCUGACGGUACCCAAAGAAUAAGCACCGGCUAACUUCGUG